AUUGAACGCUGGCGGCAUGCCUAACACAUGCAAGUCGAACGGCAGCACGGCAGUAGCAAUACUGUGGGUGGCGAGUGGCGGACGGGUGAGGAAUACGUCGGAAUCUGCCCAGUCGUGGGGGAUAACUAGCCGAAAGGUUAGCUAAUACCGCAUACGACCGAGAGGUGAAAGCGGGGGACCGCAAGGCCUCGCGCGAUUGGAUGAGCCGACGUCGGAUUAGCUAGUUGGUGGGGUAAAGGCCCACCAAGGCGACGAUCCGUAGCUGGUCUGAGAGGAUGAUCAGCCACACUGGAACUGAGACACGGUCCAGACUCCUACGGGAGGCAGCAGUGGGGAAUAUUGGACAAUGGGCGCAAGCCUGAUCCAGCAACGCCGCGUGUGUGAAGAAGGCCUCGGUUGUAAG
rnacentral:rRNA from 1 species